rnacentral:rRNA from 1 species
GGGACACGUGGUAUCCUGUCUGAAUAUGGGGGGACCAUCCUCCAAGGCUAAAUACUCCUGACUGACCGAUAGUGAACCAGUACCGUGAGGGAAAGGCGAAAAGAACCCCGGCGAGGGGAGUGAAAAAGAACCUGAAACCGUGUACGUACAAGCAGUGGGAGCACCUUCGGGUGUGACUGCGUACCUUUUGUAUAAUGGGUCAGCGACUUAUAUUCUGUAGCAAGGUUAACCGUAUAGGGGAGCCGCAGGGAAACCGAGUCUUAACUGGGCGUUAAGUUGCAGGGUAUAGACCCGAAACCCGGUGAUCUAGCCAUGGGCAGGUUGAAGGUUGGGUAACACUAACUGGAGGACCGAACCGACUAAUGUUGAAAAAUUAGCGGAUGACUUGUGGCUGGGGGUGAAAGGCCAAUCAAACCGGGAGAUAGCUGGUUCUCCCCGAAAGCUAUUUAGGUAGCGCCUCGUGAAUUCAUCUUCGGGGGUAGAGCACUGUUUCGGCUAGGGGGUCAUCCCGACUUACCAACCCGAUGCAAACUACGAAUACCGAAGAAUGUUAUCACGGGAGACACACGGCGGGUGCUAACGUCCGUCGUGAAGAGGGAAACAACCCAGACCGCCAGCUAAGGUCCCAAAGUCAUGGUUAAGUGGGAAACGAUGUGGGAAGGCACAGACAGCCAGGAUGUUGGCUUAGAAGCAGCCAUCAUUUAAAGAAAGCGUAAUAGCUCACUGGUCGAGUCGGCCUGCGCGGAAGAUGUAACGGGGCUAAACCAUGCACCGAAGCUGCGGCAGCGACACUAUGUGUUGUUGGGUAGGGGAGCGUUCUGUAAGCCUGCGAAGGUGUGCUGUGAGGCAUGCUGGAGGUAUCAGAAGUGCGAAUGCUGACAUAAGUAACGAUAAAGCGGGUGAAAAGCCCGCUCGCCGGAAGACCAAGGGUUCCUGUCCAACGUUAAUCGG